AAACCAGCACCUCAAGUGGUCAGGAUGAUUAUUGGGCCUAAAGCAUCCGUAGCCGGCUCUGUAAGUUUUCGGUUAAAUCUGUACGCUUAACGUACAGGCUGCUGGGAAUACUGCAGAGCUAGGGAGUGGGAGAGGUAGACGGUACUCGGGAGGAAGUGGUAAAAUGCUUUGAUCUCUCGAUGACCACCUGUGGCGAAGGCGGUCUACCAGAACACGUCCGACGGUGAGGGAUGAAAGCUGGGGGAGCAAACAGGAUUAGAAACCCCAGUAGUCC
rnacentral:rRNA from 1 species